rnacentral:rRNA from 1 species
UACAGAGGUCCCAAGCGUUGUUCGGAUUCACUGGGCGUAAAGGGUGCGUAGGUGGUGAGGUAAGUCCGCUGUGAAAGUCGGGGGCUCAACCUCGGAUGCCGGUGGAUACUGUCGGGCUUGAGUACGGAAGAGGCGAGUGGAAUUCCUGGUGUAGCGGUGAAAUGCGCAGAUAUCAGGAGGAACACCAAUUGCGAAGGCGCUCGCUGGGACGUUAACUGAC